GACUCAACCUCUCUCCCCUUCUUGAAAGUCUCCUCCCUAAGCUUCUGUGAUCCACAUGCCUCUGCUCCUCUUUUCUCUCUGGCUAUGCAUGUGUCCUCUUCUCUUUACCUGAUGUCCUUCUCUUUACUUUUCCUGCAUGAUUUCCUCUGCUCCAGUCCAGCCCCUGACCCAGGUGCUGAUGAUUUCCUUGUGUGGUCUCCAGCCGGGAUCUAUCCUGCUUUUAAAACAGUUCAGUGUCCCUAGACACUGUCUGCACCCCAGCUCCGGAAACGGGCAUCAUGCUCACUAUCUGCCCCCACAUCCAAACUGGUAAUUAAGUCAUUUAUUCAGUUAGUCUACAAAUAUGGAUCAAGUGUCUCCUGUUCUAGGGACUUAGGAUGUCAGUGAACAAAAUAAAGAUCUCUACCUUUGUGGAGCUUAUCCUAGUAGAUGUGACAGCAAACCACAGACAUAAGUGAAAAAUCUAAUACGCUGGAAGAUGAUCAGUGCUAUAGGAAAAAAGUAGAACAGAAUAAAGGGGAUCAGGAUGUGGUGGGGUACUUGAAGCUGGUUGCAGUAUCAGCGAGGAUAAUCGGGUAAGCUUCCUUGAGAAGGUGACAUUUGAG
rnacentral:lncRNA from 10 species